rnacentral:rRNA from 1 species
CGACGAACUUCUUUAUCACCGAGUGCUUGCACUCACCGAUAAAGAGUUGAGUGGCGAACGGGUGAGUAACACGUGGGCAACCUGCCCAAAAGAGGGGGAUAACACUUGGAAACAGGUGCUAAUACCGCAUAACCAUAGUUACCGCAUGGUAACUAUGUAAAGGGUGGCUAUGCUACCGCUUUUGGAUGGGCCCGCGGCGCAUUAGCUAGUUGGUGGGGUAAAGGCUUACCAAGGCAAUGAUGCGUAGCCGAACUGAGAGGUUGAUCGGCCACAUUGGGACUGAGACACGGCCCAAACUCCUACGGGAGGCAGCAGUAGGGAAUCUUCCACAAUGGGCGAAAGCCUGAUGGAGCAACGCCGCGUGGGUGAAGAAGGUCUUCGGAUCGUAAAACCCUGUUGUUAGAGAAGAAAGUGCGUGAGAGUAACUGUUCACGUUUCGACGGUAUCUAACCAGAAAGCCACGGCUAACUACGUGCCAGCAGCCGCGGUAAUACGUAGGUGGCAAGCGUUAUCCGGAUUUAUUGGGCGUAAAGGGAACGCAGGCGGUCUUUUAAGUCUGAUGUGAAAGCCUUCGGCUUAACCGGAGUAGUGCAUUGGAAACUGGGAGACUUGAGUGCAGAAGAGGAGAGUGGAACUCCAUGUGUAGCGGUGAAAUGCGCAGAUAUAUGGAAGAACACCAGUGGCGAAAGCGGCUCUCUGGUCUGUAACUGACGCUGAGGUUCGAAAGCGUGGGUAGC